rnacentral:tRNA from 1 species
GGGCCCGUAGUCUAGCUUGGUUAGGAUGCCCGCCUCACGCGCGGGAGAUCCCGGGUUCGAGUCCCGGCGGGCCCA